rnacentral:rRNA from 1 species
GGGCCCGCACAAGCGGUGGAGUAUGUGGUUUAAUUCGAAGAUACGCGCAGAACCUUACCAACACUUGACAUGUUCGUCGCGACUCUGAGAGAUUAGAGUUUUCGGUUCGGCCGGACGAAACACAGGUGCUGCAUGGCUGUCGUCAGCUCGUGUCGUGAGAUGUUGGGUUAAGUCCCGCAACGAGCGCAACCCUCACUUUUAGUUGCCAUCAUUUAGUUGGGCACUCUGAAAGAACUGCCAGUGAUAAGCUGGAGGAAGGUGGGGAUGACGUCAAGUCCUCAUGGCCCUUACGUGUUGGGCUACACACGUGCUACAAUGGUAUCUACAACAGGAAGCAAGACUGCGAGGUCAAGCAAAAUCCUUAAAAGAUACCUCAGUUCGGAUUGCACUCUGCAACUCGAGUGCAUGAAGCUGGAAUUACUAGUAAUCGU